CUAUACAUGACUCUGCGCAUAUCAAUAAGCGGAGGAAAAGAAACUAACUAAGGAUUCCCCUAGUAACGGCGAGUGAAGCGGGAAGAGCUCAAAUUUGAAAUCUUAAAGGGUUUCCCUUUACGAAUUGUAGUUUAAAGAAGUGUUUUCUGUUGAGGUUUUGGUAAAAGUUCUUUGGAAUAGGACAUCAUAGAGGGUGAGAAUCCCGUAUUUGACCUUUACUUUCAACUUUGUGAUACACUUUCAAAGAGUCGGAUUGUUUGGGAAUGCAGUCCAAAAUGGGUGGUAAAUUUCAUCUAAAGCUAAAUAUUGGCGAGAGACCGAUAGCGAACAAGUACCGUGAGGGAAAGAUGAAAAGAACUUUGAAAAGAGAGUUAAACAGUACGUGAAAUUGUCAAAAGGGAAGCGUUUGACACCAGUGUUGUUUUUCUGAAAAUCAAUUAAAGAACUGUUUAUGCUAAGUUGUUUAGACUUUAUCAGCUAACUGUUUAGUUUUGAGCUUUUCUUUAAUGCACUUUUCAGUUAACAAGUCAACAUCAAUUUCUUUUGCUGUAAAAAAGCUUGAGGAAGGUGGCUUGAGAUUCGUCUUAAGUGUUUAUAGCCUCUUGCCUAUGCAGUCGGAGAGAUUGAGGUCUGCAGCGUAGAUCCUUCGGGGCUAAAUGCAUUUGUGCUAAGUUAUAGCAUUUUAUAGACAACUUGUUGACUAUGAUUUGUCUUGUAGCUUACUCGCUUAUGUUAUUUUACCUACGCUUAGGAUGUUGACAGCAGUAUAGACUGU
rnacentral:rRNA from 1 species